rnacentral:rRNA from 1 species
GUCCACGCCCUAAACGAUGUGCACUAGGUAUUGGGAGUAUCGACCCUCUCAGUGCCGUUUAAAAAGCUAACGCGUUAAGUGCACCGCCUGGGGACUACGGCCGCAAGGUUAAAACUCAAAGGAAUAGACGGGGACCCCGCACAAGUAGAGGAUCAUGCGGUUUAAUUCGACGGUACGCGGAAACCUUACCUGGGCUCAACUACUAGCUGCAAGCUUGAUGAAAGUCGAGCCGCUCUCGAGGGUGCUAGAUAGGUGCUGCAUGGUUGCCGU